rnacentral:tRNA from 1 species
UGAUAGGUGGCUGAGUGGUCUAAAGCGCUGAAUUUGAAAUUCAGUUCAUCGUGGGUUCAAAUCCUGCCCUAUCCU